UGCUGAAUAUACCAGUUCUCGUUAGAUCACCGAAUUCAAGCAUCAUUGGGCGCGGUCAGUACUUGGGUGGGUGACCACCU